GGGCUCGUGAUCUAGUGGUUAUGAUGUCUGCUUGACGUGCAGAAUAUCCCCGGUCCGAAUCCGGGCGAGCCCA
rnacentral:tRNA from 11 species